AUUGAACGCUGGCGGCAGGCCUAACACAUGCAAGUCGAACGGUAACAGGAAGCAUCUUGCUGCUUCGCUGACGAGUGGCGGACGGGUGAGUCAUGUCUGGGAAACUGCCUGAUGGAGGGGGAUAACUACUGGAAACGGUAGCUAAUACCGCAUAACGUCGCAAGCCCAAAGAGGGGGACCUUAGGGCCUCUUGCCAUCGGAUGUGCCCAGAUGGGAUUAGCUAGUAGGUGGGGUAACGGCUCACCUAGGCGACGAUCCGUAGCUGGUCUGAGAGUACGACCAGCCACACUGGAACUGAGACACGGUCCAGACUCCUACGGGAGGCAGCAGUGGGGAAUAUUGCACAAUGGGCGCAAGCCUGAUGCAGCCAUGCCGCGUGUAUGAAGAAGGCCUUCGGGUUGUAAAGUACUUUCAGCGGGGAGGAAGGGAGUAAAGUUAAUACCUUUGCUCAUUGACGUUACCCGCAGAAGAAGCACCGGCUAACUCCGUG
rnacentral:rRNA from 1 species